rnacentral:misc_RNA from 1 species
GAAAUGCGAUAAUUAAUGUGAAUUACAGAAUUCAGUGAAUCAUCGAGUCUUUGAACGCACAUUGCGCCCCCUGGUAUUCCGGGGGGCAUGCCUGUCCGAGCGUCAUUGCUGCCCUCAAGCACGGCUUGUGUGUUGGGCUUCCGUCCCUGGCAACGGGGACGGGCCCAAAAGGCAGUGGCGGCACCAUGUCUGGUCCUCGAGCGUAUGGGGCUUUGUCACCCGCUCCCGUAGGUCCAGCUGGCAGCUAGCCUCGCAACCAAUCUUUUUAACCAGGUUGACCUCGGAUCGGGUAGGGAUACCCGCUGAACUUAAGC